GGCCCGGUAGCUUAGCCUGGGGGAGCACUCGACUGAUAAUCGAGAGGGCGUCGGUUCAAAUCCGAUCCGGGCCA
rnacentral:tRNA from 1 species